rnacentral:tRNA from 1 species
GGCCUAUAACUUGGCUAAAGUGCAAAUUUAGCUUUGAAAUGUUUUUUCGUAGGCCU